AAGUAAUGCAAUAUAUUCUCUCUCUGCCAGAACCAAACUGUACCAGCACCAACGAACGCCUUUGUGCUAGGAAUAAAUAGGAUGAAUAAAUCUCUACCAGCACCAACAUUGACAGCUUGUUUGUUCACACGUAGCAAUGUUUUGCAUUAAACUGAACCAUGCCAAUACAUAAAACUUCAACAUGAGACUUUGUAAAAAGUUAAUCUUUGCAAUACGACAAAGGUUCACAACAUCAAAUGAUCACAGUCUAGCCAAGGUUACAUAAAAACUGAAUCUUUGCAUUAUUAGCACCACCCAACAAAGAUUUUCAUUGCUCAAGGAUCUUCCUCUGUCCGUUCAGCAUCACACUUCACCCAAUAUUUCCUGCAAAAUAUGAUGAGAAAUGGUGACAUAUGGUCUCAUAGGGCACAAUGGUUGUACAAAUUGCUCAAAGUGAAUACAUAACUGAAUCUUUGCAUUAUUAGCACCACCCAACAAAGAUUUUCAUUGCUCAAGGAUCUUCCUCUGUCCGUUCAGCAUCACACUUCACCCAAUAUUUCCUGCAAAAUAUGAUGAGAAAUGGUGACAUAUGGUCUCAUAGGGCACAAUGGUUGUACAAAUUGCUCAAAGUGAAAGAUGUGACAGCCAAUAAGACAAAUCAAAGUGUGACACGAUAAGCUUUAGCUUGCAACAAUCUUUACAAAGGGUAAAAAAAAUACCUCAACUUGAUAUAGAAGUUGCUCAAAGGUUAACUUGCACUUCAUUUGCACAAUUAUCAUGAAUCGAAAGGUAGUGGCGACAAACCAGCAACAACCGAGUAGGUUAAGUAGGACCAAAACUAAGUCGAUAAGAGACUACAUAUUAAAACAGAGGAUAUAUAUAGGAAAAUGGGUUGGUACACCUAGGAGUACAUACUCCUAUGUCAUGUGUCAUUUCUUUUUUUAUUUUCCACUGUUGUUUAUUGUGCCAUCGCAACAAACCUCCUUAGCAUUUAGUUAGUUGAUUAGGUGCUAAUCAGAAGUGGUCCCGUGGAGUUUGAAAGUUUGUUCCAUACUAAUAGGGAUAAGGCACAUUCAGAUUCAAAUCUUGUUAGCACCGCAUUAACAUGCAUCGUUCUUCUUUCAUUAAAAUCAAUCCACCUACUGAUUAGGGCUUGGAGACAAGACGCAGCCGGCAGCCGCUUGUUGACUCGACGACGAGGCACAUUAGAUGUGGUUGGCGCAACUCAAACUUGAAGAUGAGAAGAUGAGAUGCUGCCGACAAUCUAACUCGUCAAGGUGCAUCAUUUAUUCAAUAUUAUUUCUGGUCUACGAACUUCAGAUUGAGCUGCAAAAGCAUGCAUCAACCACUCUUUCCGUGACUAAUUCAUUGCUUGCUCAGGUAGGCAUCUAGUUGGCUGUACCCCUUAUCUAAGCUCUAUGCAUGCAGGUAGAAUUUCCCAAGGUGUCAUCUGGAGGCCAUGGAUAGCAUGGCGUGGAGUGCCUGCGAUUUCGAUGCGUUGGACUCCUAACAUCAUGCUGCCCACCGUGCGUGUGCUUGCCGGCGACAAACAGAACAACAACAAGAAGAUGCUUUUGCAGUGAAGAACAAAUGAAUGUAGACUAGAUAUCCACUCCAGAAUGCAUAUGUAAUACGUGCAUGCUUAUCAUACAUUUCUCUAUGGAUGUAUCAAAUUUAGUGAAUAUACUUCAAUUUCAGCAGAGUAUAUACUUCAUUCAAGUGGAUAUACUUCAAAUCAAUUUCAGCAGAGAGUAUGCAUCAUUCGUAUGAACAACUGAAUAUACUGCUAUAUCAGCUGGGUAUAUCCUUUUUUUGGUCGAGAAGUAUAUACUCCAAUAAAAAAAAGUAUAUACUCUCCAAUUAAAAAAUUAAGUACAAACUCCUAAACCCUUGGCCACAGUACUCCAAUUAAAAUUUAAAUAUUUAGUAUAUACUCUUCUCGCUAGUACUAGAUACUCAUUGAUCGCAAUGCUAAUUGCACAAGAAAGCAACUAAAAAAUUGCACAAGAAAACCGUAUACUUUUGUUAUAAGCAGUAUAUACCGGUCUAAAAAUAUAUACAUCACAAAAUAGUAUAUAAUCCUACUUUUUUUGAAGUAUAUACUCCUAUGAAGAAACGACUGUAUAUACUUCUUUUUGUGGUAGGUUGUUCUUUGAUCGGAGAGUAGUAUAUAUGUCGCAUAUACUGCAAAAUAGUGCUUCCAGCACACAUUGAUAGGGAACAAGAAUUAGUUAUUCCUCAUGUAUGAAUGAUGCUCAAAGCAUUCAUUGUUAAUCUAGGACUCCCGACUGAUGUUCUUGAAUUACAACUCUACACAUGGCCUACAAGCAGUCACCCAGUCACUUAGCUAAUCCAAACAGAGCAAAAUUAUCCGAAGAACCUGUCUAGAUCUUAUGGAGCAAUAUAUUGCAGCAAUCAAAGGAAAUAACAACCUAGUCCAUAUGACAAUGUUGUGACAAUAUAUCCAAGCAAAUAUAUUGCAGCAACCAACUGAAGAACCACUCUGAUUGAAAGAGGCGAAGCAUACCCUGCUUGCUCCCAGACCAAGAGCCCCGGUGCCUCUUGCUCCUUAGUCCUCCGGGGGUGGAGUUGACCUACCGUGGGCUGCCCAGAUCGGGUGGCUGGAGUGAGGCGUCCUGCUGAACAGGUGGGUUCAGGUUAGGGUUAGGGUUCAAGAAGAAAAACGCAUCAGAGAGAGGGAGGGGGGAGAAGAGAGGUGGGGAAGGGAGCGAGAGGAGAAGCCUUACCGGUGGCGAGAGGGACAGGUAACCAAGACGUCGGAGUGUCCUUGCGACCUUGCCGGAGAGGGACAGUACGGGGCGGAGAUGGACCGGGACCGGGACGGGACGGGGCGGGGUGGAGGAUAGGGUGGGUGGCGGCGGGGUGGAGGAGAGGGAUCGAGAGAGACAGAGAGCUGCGUCGGGCCUCCAAAUCCAGACAAAUGAGGGCAUCUCCGGCCGUUGGCCCUCCAGGAAGGGCAAAAAAUCGCCCCUGGAGGCGCACCGGCGCUAAGCCCCG
rnacentral:lncRNA from 1 species